UACUCAUGCACCUUAAUCAUACACACAGAGGAAAUCUAUAAAGGUCUAGAAUAAAAGGAUUGUGUUUAAAUGCUGCUUUUAGGACACAAAGAUAUAUCUGAGAUUUUGAAAAUAAGUCAGUGAUUAACUGGGACUGCAUUGUAAAUGGAAUUUAUUUCAUGAGGAUCUAAAAGGACCUUUGGGGAUAUUGAAAACUUUAUCUUGAUUGUAGCAGUGGAUGCUUUAAUGUACACAUCUGUUAAAACUAGUCAUACAUUGCCAAAUGGCAUAAGAAUCCAUUUCUACUGUCCUGUUGACAGUGAUUACGCAGCCUGCUGUAAGAUAUCAAAGGAAACAAAGAACAGAGGGAAGGUGACAAGACUUUGAAUUAGAAGACUUGGGUUUAAGUAAAAGUACUGGUUCAAUCCAAUCGCUUAAUUUCCAGGAGGUGUUUUCUUCAUUUGCAAAAUGGACGUUAUAGAACUUAUUGUGUGAACUUCAGUUUAAAAUCAUACCAAAAUGAGAUUAUGUGAAUGCCAGUUAUUUGAAAACUUUAAGG